rnacentral:rRNA from 1 species
GCUAUACAUGCAAGUCGAGCGGACCGACGGGAGCUUGCUCCCUUAGGUCAGCGGCGGACGGGUGAGUAACACGUGGGUAACCUGCCUGUAAGACUGGGAUAACUCCGGGAAACCGGGGCUAAUACCGGAUGCUUGAUUGAACCGCAUGGUUCAAUCAUAAAAGGUGGCUUUUAGCUACCACUUGCAGAUGGACCCGCGGCGCAUUAGCUAGUUGGUGAGGUAACGGCUCACCAAGGCGACGAUGCGUAGCCGACCUGAGAGGGUGAUCGGCCACACUGGGACUGAGACACGGCCCAGACUCCUACGGGAGGCAGCAGUAGGGAAUCUUCCGCAAUGGACGAAAGUCUGACGGAGCAACGCCGCGUGAGUGAUGAAGGUUUUCGGAUCGUAAAACUCUGUUGUUAGGGAAGAACAAGUGCCGUUCGAAUAGGGCGGCACCUUGACGGUACCUAACCAGAAAGCCACGGCUAACUACGUGCCAGCAGCCGCGGUAAUACGUAGGUGGCAAGCGUUGUCCGGAAUUAUUGGGCGUAAAGCGCGCGCAGGCGGUUUCUUAAGUCUGAUGUGAAAGCCCCCGGCUCAACCGGGGAGGGUCAUUGGAAACUGGGGAACUUGAGUGCAGAAGAGGAGAGUGGAAUUCCACGUGUAGCGGU